rfam:Perkinsus marinus ATCC 50983 gcontig_1104296664290, whole genome shotgun sequence.
GCCUCGGUAGCUCAGUCGGCAUAGCGCGUGCUUUUUAGGCCCAUGGGCGCGGGUUCGAGCCCCGCCUGAGGUG